rnacentral:rRNA from 1 species
AAUAGAUACCCCGGUAGUCCACGCCGUAAACGAUGUCGACUUGGAGGUUGUUCCCUUGAGGAGUGGCUUCCGGAGCUAACGCGUUAAGUCGACCGCCUGGGGAGUACGGCCGCAAGGUUAAAACUCAAAUGAAUUGACGGGGGCCCGCACAAGCGGUGGAGCAUGUGGUUUAAUUCGAUGCAACGCGAAGAACCUUACCUACUCUUGACAUCCAGAGAACUUAGCAGAGAUGCUUUGGUGCCUUCGGGAACUCUGAGACAGGUGCUGCAUGGCUGUCGUCAGCUCGUGUUGUGAAAUGUUGGGUUAAGUCCCGCAACGAGCGCAACCCUUAUCCUUUGUUGCCAGCGGUCCGGCCGGGAACUCAAAGGAGACUGCCAGUGAUAAACUGGAGGAAGGUGGGGAUGACGUCAAGUCAUCAUGGCCCUUACGAGUAGGGCUACACACGUGCUACAAUGGCGUAUACAAAGAGAAGCGACCUCGCGAGAGCAAGCGGACCUCAUAAAGUACGUCGUAGUCCGGAUUGGAGU